GGUUUAUGUUUACCUUCCAUUGUCGUCUUCAUUAUCUUGCAGAAGGGCACCUCGUGUUCUUGCCCUACGAUGUACUGGCACAACACGAUUGGUGACUUUCGUUGAGCCGAUAUCAUGAAUAGAUUUGUCAGGAGACUUUUGAAACCCGUCUUCAUUGGGCCAGGCAUCUGAAUUUAGCAACUCCUGUUUCUUUUCCUUUUCCUCGAAUGUCGAUUGAAG
rnacentral:misc_RNA from 1 species